rnacentral:rRNA from 1 species
AUUGAACGCUGGCGGCAGGCCUAACACAUGCAAGUCGAGCGGAUGAAGGGAGCUUGCUCCUGGAUUCAGCGGCGGACGGGUGAGUAAUGCCUAGGAAUCUGCCUGGUCGUGGGGGAUAACGUCCGGAAACGGGCGCUAAUACCGCAUACGUCCUGAUGGAGAAAGUGGGGGAUCUUCGGACCUCACGCUAUCAGAUGAGCCUAGGUCGGAUUAGCUAGUUGGUGGGGUAAAGGCCUACCAAGGCGACGAUCCGUAACUGGUCUGAGAGGAUGAUCAGUCACACUGGAACUGAGACACGGUCCAGACUCCUACGGGAGGCAGCAGUGGGGAAUAUUGGACAAUGGGCGAAAGCCUGAUCCAGCAAUGCCGCGUGUGUGAAGAAGGUCUUCGGAUUGUAAAGCACUUUAAGUUGGGAGGAAGGGCAGUAAGUUAAUACCUUGCUGCUUUGACGUUACCAACAGAAUAAGCACCGGCUAACUUCGUG